AGCUCCAAUAGCGUAUAUUAAAGUUGUUGCAGUUAAAAAGCUCGUAGUUGGAUUUCUGGUGGGAGGAGCGGGUCCGCCCUAAUGGGGUGUGAACUUUGCUUCCUUUCGCCAUCCUUGUGGAAAGCCUGUCCGCAUUAACUUGCUGGGCUGGGGAUCUGCAUCGUUUACUGUGAAAAAAUUAGAGUGUUCAAAGCAGGCCGUAGGCCGUUGAAUACAUUAGCAUGGAAUAAUAAGAUAGGACUUCAGUACUAUUUUGUUGGUUUGCGUACCGAAGUAAUGAUUAAUAGGGACAGUUGGGGGUAUUCGUAUUCAGUUGUCAGAGGUGAAAUUCUUGGAUUUAUUGAAGACGAACUACUGCGAAAGCAUUUACCAAGGAUGUUUUCA
rnacentral:rRNA from 1 species